GGUCGGGGGGGGCGGCUUAACCAUGCAAGUCGAGCGGAGUGAUGGUGCUUGCACUAUCACUUAGCGGCGGACGGGCCCAUUAAUGCUUAGGAAUCUGCCUAUUAGUGGGGGACAACAUCUCGAAAGGGAUGCUAAUACCGCAUACGUCCUACGGGAGAAAGCAGGGGAUCACUUGUGACCUUGCGCUAAUAGAUGAGCCUAAGUCGGAUUAGCUAGUUGGUGGGGUAAAGGCCUACCAAGGCGACGAUCUGUAGCGGGUCUGAGAGGAUGAUCCGCCACACUGGGACUGAGACACGGCCCAGACUCCUACGGGAGGCAGCAGUGGGGAAUAUUGGACAAUGGGGGGAACCCUGAUCCAGCCAUGCCGCGUGUGUGAAGAAGGCCUUAUGGUUGUAAAGCACUUUAAGCGAGGAGGAGGCUCUUUUGGUUAAUACCCAAGAUGAGUGGACGUUACUCGCAGAAUAAGCACCGGGUAACUCUGUGCCAGCAGCCGCGGUAAUACAGAGGGUGCAAGCGUUAAUCGGAUUUACUGGGCGUAAAGCGCGCGUAGGCGGCCAA
rnacentral:rRNA from 1 species